rnacentral:antisense_RNA from 1 species
GUCCGACCGGCUGAGCUCUGGGGCCACGGUGGGGUGUGUCAGCCCGGGGUCCCCACCCCCUUGAGGUUAUGAGCGAAGGCUGGAUUUACACUCAGAAGUGAGGCCUUCCCUGGGUGACCCACACACAGCAGGGUCUG